UGAACGCUGGCGGUAUGCUUAACACAUGCAAGUCGAACGGAAACGAUACUAGCUUGCUAGUAGGCGUCGAGUGGCGGACGGGUGAGUAACGCGUAGGAAUCUGCCUGAUAGUGGGGGAUAGCCCGAAGAAAUUCGGAUUAAUACCGCAUAAUCUAUUCGUAGUAAAGUGGGGGACUUUCGAGCCUCACGCUAUCAGAUGAGCCUGCGUAAGAUUAGCUUGUUGGUAGGGUAAAAGCCUACCAAGGCGACGAUCUUUAGCUGGUCUGAGAGGAUGAUCAGCCACAUCGGGACUGAGACACGGCCCGAACUCCUACGGGAGGCAGCAGUGGGGAAUAUUGGACAAUGGGGGCAACCCUGAUCCAGCAAUACCGCGUGUGUGAAGAAGGCCUGAGGGUUGUAAAGCACUUUCAAUUGUGAAGAAAAGUUAGCGGUUAAUAACCGUUAGCCUUGACGUUAACUUUAGAAGAAGCACCGGCUAACUCCGUGCCAGCAGCCGCGGUAAUACGGAGGGUGCAAGCGUUAAUCGGAAUUACUGGGCGUAAAGCGUGCGUAGGCGGUUUAUUAAGUCAGAUGUGAAAGCCCCGGGCUUAACCUGGGAACUGCAUUUGAAACUGGUCAACUAGAGUAUGGUAGAGGAAAGUGGAAUUUCUGGUGUAGCGGGUGAAAUGCGUAGAUAUCAGAAGGAACAUCAAUGGGCGGAAGCAGCUUUCUGGACCAAUACUGACGCUGAGGUACGAAAGCGUGGGUAGCAAACAGGAUUAGAUACCCUGGUAGUCCACGCCGUAAACGAUGAUAACUAGCCGUUGGGGGGAUUUACCCUUUAGUGGCGAAGCUAACGCGUUAAGUUAUCCGCCUGGGGAGUACGGCCGCAAGGUUAAAACUCAAAGGAAUUGACGGGGACCCGCACAAGCGGUGGAGCAUGUGGUUUAAUUCGAUGCAACGCGAAGAACCUUACCUGGUCUUGACAUCCUGCGAACUUUCUAGAAAUAGAUUGGUGCCUUCGGGAACGCAGUGGCAGGUGCUGCAUGGCUGUCGUCAGCUCGUGUCGUGAGAUGUUGGGUUAAGUCCCGUAACGAGCGCAACCCCUAUCCUUAUUUGCCAGCACAUCAUGGUGGGAACUAUAAGGAGACUGCCGGUGAUAAACCGGAGGAAGGCGGGGACGACGUCAAGUCAUCAUGGCCCUUACGACCAGGGCUACACACGUGCUACAAUGGGAAGGACAAAGAGCCGCGAAGCCGCGAGGUGUAGCUAAUCUCAUAAACCUUUUCGUAGUCCGGAUUGGAGUCUGCAACUCGACUCCAUGAAGUCGGAAUCGCUAGUAAUCGUAGAUCAGAAUGCUACGGUGAAUACGUUCCCGGGUCUUGUACACACCGC
rnacentral:rRNA from 1 species